CGGUCCAUGAACCGGCCGACUCUCUUCCUCUUCCCCGCGUACUCUCCGUCUCUCCCCAUCGAUCUCUCCCCCACCACCGCUCCGCCUCGGUUCGUCUUCUUCCAUCGUUCGCCACAUUAACAGUCCGGACUCCUCGCCACAAAUGUUGCCGCCGCGACCCAAGGCCUCCCCUCGCAAAUGCUCAUCAAACUGGCCCAUAAAUCACAACAUUCAUGACUGGAAACUGCUCGAUUCAAAUCAUCCUGAGCAGCCUCCAGGUUAAAACCAUGCCGUGCUACCGUCCGCAUCAAACGCGCGCUUGCUUGCGCCCCCACCUCCACUCUGGUACAUGGCUGCUCCCCGUUUUAAUUCCCCCAUUGUUUUCUCCAAUCCCUCAACAUAUAAUCCCAAUCUGCAUGGCUGAGGUCCGGAUUGAAACCCGCUCGACAUUUUUCCCCUGGACCUGAUUUGAUAUGAUUCUGCCAGCCGCUAUCUCAAAUCCCAGGAUUUCUGGCUUGAGAUCCGCUAGCCUUUCUUCCCUGCACCCGAUUUGGUUUGAUCCUGCCUGCUGCUACCUCGAAUCCCUCGAUUUAUUUUUAUUGGAUUCAAGCAAUCAUCGCAUGUACCGCGUAUAUUUUAAUUCUCCUGCUUCCGUGCGUAUGCAAGUUUUCAUCUCCUGCUCUUAAAUUUUAAUUUACAUUGGAUUGGAUGAGCAGAUGCCUCUAAUUUACCUUUUAUUUUAGUUUCCGCCCUUCAAUUGUAGCAUAAUAUUACAACAUUAAUUUUGUUUCACAACGAUUGAACUUCAAGCUUUCCCUUUCUGUUUGGUUCAGGUGUGGAUCAAGACGAAUUUCACAUGAAGGAUAGUCAAGAAAAUGAUUAUGUAGGUAAGGAGGAGUCAUGAACUAAAAUACUGCUAUCUUUUUUACCAGUGGUGGCGAAAACAUACCAGGCUCAACUAGAAUGUAGUGGAAUUUGGUAGUGGUGAUGAAAAUAUGGCAUGGACGAAAUGUCUAACCUUUUUGUCAGUUUGGCAUGGUUCAAGGGUUUGCUAGAUGUUUUGACUUCUAUUGGAGGCAAUGAAUCAUCUUCAACUCUAAAAUUCUGGAUGGCAAUACCAAUACGGAAAGAUACGUGCAGGAGUCGCCAAUCUUUCAACUCUUUAUGUGUUAAUGGACUAUAUAUUUACAGUCUUUCGCGAAGAUUGGUUGGGUUAGUCUACAAAUAUCCCGGGUUUUUUGUAAUUCGAGAAGAAUGUGUAAACCAUUUAUGUACGGCAUGCCAUUUACAUUGUACUAGAAACACUUCAACGUGGAAUGUGGUACUUUCUUUCUUCUAAAAAAAACUUGCAUCUGCGGUGCUCUAAUUUGUACAAUCGUGACAACUGUUGAACCAUUCU